CCAUGCAAGUCGAGCGGUAACAGAUCCAGCUUGCUGGAUGCUGACGAGCGGCGGACGGGUGAGUAAUGCAUAGGAAUCUGCCCGAUAGUGGGGGAUAACCUGGGGAAACCCAGGCUAAUACCGCAUACGUCCUACGGGAGAAAGGGGGCUCCGGCUCCCGCUAUGGGAUGAGCCUAUGUCGGAUUAGCUAGUUGGUGAGGUAACGGCUCACCAAGGCCACGAUCCGUAGCUGGUCUGAGAGGAUGAUCAGCCACAUCGGGACUGAGACACGGCCCGAACUCCUACGGGAGGCAGCAGUGGGGAAUAUUGGACAAUGGGGGAAACCCUGAUCCAGCCAUGCCGCGUGUGUGAAGAAGGCCCUCGGGUUGUAAAGCACUUUCAGCGAGGAAGAACGCCUAGCGGUUAAUACCCGCUAGGAAAGACAUCACUCGCAGAAGAAGCACCGGCUAACUCCGUGCCAGCAGCCGCGGUAAUACGGAGGGUGCAAGCGUUAAUCGGAAUUACUGGGCGUAAAGCGCGCGUAGGUGGCUUGAUAAGCCGGUUGUGAAAGCCCCGGGCUCAACCUGGGAACGGCAUCCGGAACUGUCAAGCUAGAGUGCAGGAGAGGAAGGUAGAAUUCCCGGUGUAGCGGUGAAAUGCGUAGAGAUCGGGAGGAAUACCAGUGGCGAAGGCGGCCUUCUGGACUGACACUGACACUGAGGUGCGAAAGCGUGGGUAGCAAACAGGAUUAGAUACCCUGGUAGUCCACGCCGUAAACGAUGUCGACCAGCCGUUGGGUGCCUAGCGCACUUUGUGGCGAAGUUAACGCGAUAAGUCGACCGCCUGGGGAGUACGGCCGCAAGGUUAAAACUCAAAUGAAUUGACGGGGGCCCGCACAAGCGGUGGAGCAUGUGGUUUAAUUCGAUGCAACGCGAAGAACCUUACCUACUCUUGACAU
rnacentral:rRNA from 1 species